UUCAUGCUGAAGGAACCGUCG
rnacentral:misc_RNA from 1 species